UACGUAGGGUGCAAGCGUUGUCCGGAAUUAUUGGGCGUAAAGAGCUCGUAGGCGGUUUGUCGCGUCGAAUGUGAAAACUCGGGGCUUAACCCCCGAGCCUGCUUCUGAUACGGGCAGACUAGAGGUAUGCAGGGGAGAACGGAAUUCCUGGUGUAGCGGUGAAAUGCGCAGAGUAUCAGGAGGAACACCGGUGGCGAAGGCGGUUCUCUGGGCAUUACCUGACGCUGAGGAGCGAAGUGUG
rnacentral:rRNA from 1 species